AUUGAACGCUGGCGGCAUGCUUUACACAUGCAAGUCGGACGGCAGCACAGAGAAGCUUGCUUCUUGGGUGGCGAGUGGCGAACGGGUGAGUAAUAUAUCGGAACGUACCGAGUAAUGGGGGAUAACUAAUCGAAAGAUUAGCUAAUACCGCAUAUUCUCUGAGGAGGAAAGCAGGGGACCUUCGGGCCUUGCGUUAUUCGAGCGGCCGAUAUCUGAUUAGCUAGUUGGUGGGGUAAAGGCCUACCAAGGCGACGAUCAGUAGCGGGUCUGAAAGGAUGAUCCGCCACACUGGGACUGAGACACGGCCCAGACUCCUACGGGCGGCAGCAGUGGGGAAUUUUGGACAAUGGGCGCAAGCCUGAUCCAGCCAUGCCGCGUGUCUGAAGAAGGCCUUCGGGUUGUAAAGGACUUUUGUCAGGGAAGAAAAGGCUGUUGCUAAUACCGACAGCUGAUGACGGUACCUGAAGAAUAAGCACCGGCUAACUACGUG
rnacentral:rRNA from 1 species